rnacentral:rRNA from 1 species
GACGAACCGUGCGAACGUUGUUCGGAAUCACUGGGCUUAAAGGGCGCGUAGGCGGACCACCAAGUCCGGGGUGAAAUCCUUCGGCUUAACCGGAGAAUUGCCUGGGAUACUGGUGGUCUUGAGGGAGGUAGGGGCACGCGGAACUUCCGGUGGAGCGGUGAAAUGCGUUGAUAUCGGAAGGAACGCCGGUGGCGAAAGCGGCGUGCUGGCCCUCUUCUGACGCUGAGGCGCGAAAGCUAGGGGAGCAAACAGG